GAGCCAGACUCCUACGGGAGGCAGCAGUGGGGAAUAUUGCACAAUGGGGGAAACCCUGAUGCAGCGACGCCGCGUGAGCGAUGAAGUAUUUCGGUAUGUAAAGCUCUAUCAGCAGGGAAGAAAAUGACGGUACCUGAGUAAGAAGCCCCGGCUAACUACGUGCCAGCAGCCGCGGUAAUACGUAGGGGGCAAGCGUUAUCCGGAUUUACUGGGUGUAAAGGGGGCGCAGACGGCGAUGCAAGCCAGGAGUGAAAGCCCGGGGCCCAACCCCGGGACUGCUCUUGGAACUGCGUGGCUGGAGUGCAGGAGGGGCAGGCGGAAUUCCUGGUGUAGCGGUGAAAUGCGUAGAUAUCAGGAGGAACACCGGUGGCGAAGGCGGCCUGCUGGACUGCAACUGACGUUGAGGCCCGAAAGCGUGGGGAGCAAACAGGAUUAGAUACCCGGGUAA
rnacentral:rRNA from 1 species